AGCCCUACCCGGCGCCGCCUCCAUUGUUCCCAGUCGCUCUCAGAACUUCCCCCAAGGCCCAGCAAGCCAUCCACUGCACACGCGUGGACCUCGGGUUCCUUUGUGCGGAGCCUCCACCGAGGGCGGUGGGCCUCAGGUCUGCCCAGGCGGCAGGCAGCUCUCUCGGUCGGGCCGAAGCCAGACCUGGGUGCCGGGGCCACGGACCAGGGGCUGACAGAUGUCCUCAGCUGAGCUGCGUCGGAAUGGUGAUGGUUAACCAGACCCUGCACCCAGAGACUGCACACUGGCUUCAUUCCUACCAACAACUGGCCAAGAAAGCAUCACUGGGGGCACUUGGAAGCAGGGAACAUUUAUUUUCACUUUUCAUGUCAGCCAGGAAGACUCACCGGCCUGCACCAAGCCAGGUGUGCAGCAAUCCAGGCCCUCGGCCCAUAUGAGAGCCACACUGAGGCCCAGGCCAGGGCGUCAGUCUUUCCUUGUGGAAUUCAGGUUCUGAGUUUAGGAGGAGAGUGAGAUUCUGUCCUGGGGCUCAGAAGGGAGCACUCUGCUGCCCACCAGCCCCCGGUCUCUGCCUCCUAGUGAAAAUGUAACAGCCAAUGUGCUGGUAGGGAGCGGACAACGGGAGUAGCUCAUCCAUCCUCUCGUAGGUGGGCUGGCCAGGGCCUGUGGGGUCUCCCAGGCCCUCAUUGGUCCCCUAGCAGGGUUGGCCAUGAGCAGCCAAGGGCACUGGAGGUCAAGCUGGAGAGGCACCUGGAACAAGUGAUGGCUGCAAGGAGGGAUGCUCGGCCCAGUCCCAGCCCCCAUGGCCUGACCACUGGGAGUGGAGCCGAAAUUUAACUCAGCUCAGAAGGUGAAGUCUAAACGGCUUCACUUAGCUCAGAAAAAAUGGAGCUGACUUUACAGGUCUGAGGGAUGGACAAUGAAAGGCAAGGUUGGGGCUAGAAGGUUGAAGGCCUAGAUCCCGGCCAAGGGCACCACUCUCUGAGCCUGGAUACGGUCACCUGGAGGGUCCAG
ensembl:lncRNA